rnacentral:rRNA from 1 species
UACGUAGGGUGCGAGCGUUAAUCGGAAUUACUGGGCGUAAAGCGUGCGCAGGCGGUUCGUUGUGUCGGCGGUGAAAGCCCCGGGCUUAACCUGGGAAUGGCCGUUGAAACUGGCGAACUGGAGUGUGGCAGAGGGGGGGGGUGGAAUUCCGCGUGUAGCAGUGAAAUGCGUAGAGAUGCGGAGGAACACCGAUGGCGAAGGCAGCCCCCUGGGCUAACACUGACGCUCAGGCACGAAAGCGUGGGGAGCAAACAGG